GACGAACGCUGGCGGCGUGCUUAACACAUGCAAGUCGAACGGAAAGGCCCUGCUUUUGUGGGGUGCUCGAGUGGCGAACGGGUGAGUAACACGUGAGUAACCUGCCCUUGACUGUGGGAUAACUUCAGGAAACUGGGGCUAAUACCGGAUAGGAGCUCCUGCUGCAUGGUGGGGGUUGGAAAGUUUCGGCGGUUGGGGAUGGACUCGCGGCUUAUCAGCUUGUUGGUGGGGUAGUGGCUUACCAAGGCUUUGACGGGUAGCCGGCCUGAGAGGGUGACCGGGCACAUUGGGCCUGAGGUACGGCCCAGACUCCUACGGGAGGCAGAAGUGGGGAAUAUUGCACAAUGGGCGGAAGCCUGAUGCAGCAACGCCGCGUGCGUGAUGACGGCCUUCGGGUUGUAAACCGCUUUCGCCUGUGACGAAGCGUGAGUGACGGUAAUGGGUAAAGAAGCACCGGCUAACUACGUG
rnacentral:rRNA from 1 species